CUCUUAGUCAAAUACCGUAUAAUGUCCGGCACAUAUGCGGUAUAUUUUCGUUCCAGCGUAAAGUACUGCAUAUAAACGGACUUUCGAGCAAUAUUAUGCGUGACAAUGGCUGCGGCGGCAGGCUAGGCCCGCUAUAUGCGGCCGCGAGCGGACGCAACGCUUAUAUGCAGCCUUGCAAAUUUGGCGCGCAAAAAGCGCGCCGAAGCGUUGAGAGAGCGUUACAAAGCAAAAGCUGUAAGGAGCAGUGAGGGUUAUGCUUUGAGGGAGAAAGUAAAGCGAAAUGCAAAAGGAGAGAACGAAGAGAAACAAGUCGACGCCUCCGCUUUGCUUUGAUGGCGGAGGAGGAGGAAAGGCUGCGCCGACCGGACCGGGAAGGAGCGAGAACAUGGCGUAUGGCGGCGUGCGAGGCGAUUGUUUUCGGCGGUAAUUAUCGUCAUAUCUUUGUACCGGCGACGUUAUGCGACUGUGUUCGUGUUGUGAAGUGAUCUGGCCGCGUCGGUGAACGCUCUCGGUGAUGUCAGUGAUGUUCAAAUCCACCGUUGUUACCGGAAAUUGCAAAAAAGCAGUGCAACUUCGACAACUCGUGUGAGUACGACGGCCACACGGGCGAUCAGCGGCGGCGGGCCGCCAUGUGCGCUGGAUCGGCGGGCCCAGGAGUGCGUGCUGUAGAGCUGCGAACCUGUGCCUAUUUGGAAUAAAGUGGGACGUCAACAAUAAUAAGAACGCCACCCAUGAAAGCAGAACCCCGGGCUCUCCAUUGGAACUUUAGAGUGGACCACCGCACCGGUACGACGGUCACCUGGAGGCCCAGGAGUCAUCAGGACAAAUAACUCUGAAUAUAUAUAAAUGAUAUCUAAUGUGUUUGUGAUGACGGAGCAAUUAUGUCAAAAUGAAACACAUAUUUAAAAAUGUUUUUUUUCUCUUGUUAGCAAUGUAUUCAUAAAAAACUUCACUUGGAUCUCUCUGCAUUCACCCAACCACUGCGGCAUGUAUACAGAGUGUGCUCCGCAAGACAAAAGAUUUUUUAUGUUGCUUGGCUCCCAAAAGAGUUCUUCAAUUCAAAUACGUACAAGGUGUGUUCGAAAAGAAACCAAACUUUUGCUUUAACAUCUUUAUUGCUUAUUGUACAACAUUUUAUGCAUGGCCCCUUCAAAGUAGUCCCCUCUUCUGGCAAUACAUUGUUCCUAUCAUCUCAUCCAUUUUUUGAAAGCCUCCUGGAACACUUUUUCUGGGAUGGCGCGUAGGUCUCGUGUCGCAUUGUCUUGAAAUUUCUUUUAUGGGUUGGAAACGACGUCCUUUCAACGUGAUUUUAAGUUCGGGAAACAGGAAAAAGGCUUCUUGGGCUAGGUCUGGAAAGUACGGUGGAUGGGGCACGAGAGUGUGAUGUUUUGCUAGAUAGCCGCAGACAAGGAGAGACGCGUGAACUAGGUCAUUGUCAUGUUGCAACAAUUAAGUCUGGGUUUCCCACAAUUCAGGCUUCCUACUGGACACAGCAUCCCACAAACGCGCUAGAAUUCCUUGGUAGACCGCCUUGUUUACCAUCUCACCACGUGGUACAAAUUCCUGAUGGACUAUAUCUUUCCAGUCGGAAACCACCACCAUUACCUUGAUUUUUUUGCUGACUCUUGCGUGCUUUCUUGGACGAGAAGACUGUUCGCCCACCCACUGCGACGACUGCACUUUUGUUUCAAUAUCAGAGCCAUAAACCCACGUCUCAUUGCCUGUUGUGAUGUUACAGAAGUUUUCAUUAUCUCUGCCAGUGGCAUGCAGUUCCCGGCUUAUUUCAACACAGGUGUUUCUGAUCGACAGUCAACAAACGCGGCACGAAUUUUGCACUGACACGAUGCAUCUCAAGUUUGUCAUUCACAAUAGGAUGCCAUGAUCCUAUGCUGAUGCCCACUUCGUCAGCUAGUUCUCAAACAGCUAAACGACGAUUUCCACGAAUCACAGCACGCACUCUCUCGACAUGGUCAUCAUCUGUUAAUGUGGAAGGUCGUCCAGGCUUGGGAUCGUCACCAACCGACAUUCUGCCUUGUUCAAAAUGCUUAAACUACUCAUAGCACUGAGUGCGACUCAUACAGUUUUCCCCAUAUGCUUGGUUGGGCAAUUGAAAUGUCUCUGUGAAAAUUUUGCCAAGUUUGUAGCAAAAUUUCACACACACACGUUCUUCUACAUCCUCUUUCGUUGUUACUUUGGCACUAAUCCAACAAACAGCUUGUACACGUGCGCACUUCGGCGGCAGUAGCUCACCAACCAAUGGUCAGAGCAAAACGCGGUAAAUGGCAGUUUGUUGUCUAAACCCGCUGCUACAUGCGUUCAGUAGCCGCAGCGUGCUCUUUGCCGGUUUGCGUGCUAUUUCAAAAGUUUGGUUUCUUUUUGAACACACCUUGUACAUUAACAUGCAGCGCUUUCAUUCUUUCUUUUUUUCAUUCUAGUCAUGGAUAGCUAUUUUUCAUUAAAGCUGGGAGCACUUAGCUGUCUAAAUUCCUCAUUAGAUAACUUAUCUAUAGAAAAUGUGGCCUUACAGUAAGUUUAGUACAUAUGUGUGUUCUGUUCCUCAUGUUGUAGUUAUCUGCUAUUUUAUGUAGUUUUGGUUAUAAACAAAACUUUCUUUAAUGAACAAGAAAACGGUAAACUGAGAGGCCCAACUCUUGUUGGUCGCAACUGCAGGAAGUACGUGCAAGUUAAUGCGUUAUGCUUGUUUCACAUUUUAAAAGCUGCAGGCACUAACACUGCCUAUCUGCUUUUGUAUUUCCUGUAGCAGUGUGGCUUUUAUUUGUUACUGUCAGAGCUGGGUAUAUAAGUCCCCAUUCUGUGUUGAAAACCUACAGUGAAACUAUGCUGGACACUUUUCACUUUGUUGUGUUGUAAAUAAAUCAUUCUCUUUUGAAAAA